rnacentral:rRNA from 1 species
CUACGUGCCAGCAGCCGCGGUAAUACGUAUGUCACAAGCGUUAUCCGGAUUUAUUGGGCGUAAAGCGCGUCUAGGUGGUUAUGUAAGUCUGAUGUGAAAAUGCAGGGCUCAACCCUGUAUUGCGUUGGAAACUGCAUGACUAGAGUACUGGAGAGGUAAGCGGAACUACAAGUGUAGAGGUGAAAUUCGUAGAUAUUUGUAGGAAUGCCGAUGGGGAAGCCAGCUUACUGGACAGAUACUGACGCUAAAGCGCGAAAGCGUGGGUAGCAAACAGGAUUAGAUACCCUGGUAGUCCACGCCGUAAACGAUGAUUACUAGGUGUUGGGGGUCGAACCUCAGCGCCCAAGCUAACGCGAUAAGUAAUCCGCCUGGGGAGUACGUACGCAAGUAUGAAACUCAAAGGAAUUGACGGGGACCCGCACAAGCGGUGGAGCAUGUGGUUUAAUUCGACGCAACGCGAGGAACCUUACCAGCGUUUGACA